UUUGUGGGGCUGGAUCCCACUGGGCAGGACAUCUGUCUAUACCCUGGAAUAAGAAUAUACAGUCUCUUCUAGCACUUACAGUUGUCCCUUUAUGUGGGAUAACAGCAGUCACUUCCACAGUAUGGGAUCCUGCUUCCCUCACCAUAGCCGAUUAACCCAGGGUAAGACAUUGGAAAUAGGAAACUUGGGAUGGAAACACUCUGAUCAUGAUGGUCCCUGGAGCCGUAUCCCCUGCCAUAGCAGCAUUCUGGAAGGUGGUUGAUAAGAUACAGCAGCUGGCAGAAGGAGAGCAGUGAUCCAAACACCUAAGGGGAAUUCUAAAUAGCAGAAGGAAAGCAAAUAUUAAAAACUCAUAGACAGAAAAAAAAAGAGGAAAAGAAAGAAAACCAUUUGGAAGUGCUCAUUGAGUUGAUGCACUGGAUAAUUUAAUAAGCUGUCUGUUCUGAUCCGUUUUGCUUCCCUGCUCUUAGCAGGGUGCCGUAUGGAAGCUCCCACACAGAUGAAUAUUCAUCCCAUCUGCACCACUUACUGGCC